rnacentral:tRNA from 1 species
UGUUCUGAGAGAGUUAUUCUCGUCUUUGGUUUACAAAACCAGGGCUUUGGCUGUUUAAGCUAUCAGAGC